GAUGAACGCUGGCGGCGUGCCUAAUACAUGCAAGUCGAGCGAACAGAUAAGGAGCUUGCUCCUUUGACGUUAGCGGCGGACGGGUGAGUAACACGUGGGUAACCUACCUAUAAGACUGGGAUAACUUCGGGAAACCGGAGCUAAUACCGGAUAACAUUUGGAACCGCAUGGUUCUAAAGUGAAAGAUGGUUUUGCUAUCACUUAUAGAUGGACCCGCGCCGUAUUAGCUAGUUGGUAAGGUAACGGCUUACCAAGGCGACGAUACGUAGCCGACCUGAGAGGGUGAUCGGCCACACUGGAACUGAGACACGGUCCAGACUCCUACGGGAGGCAGCAGUAGGGAAUCUUCCGCAAUAGGCGAAAGCCUGACGGAGCAACGCCGCGUGAGUGAUGAAGGGUUUCGGCUCGUAAAACUCCGUUAUUAGGGAAGAACAAAUGUGUAAGUAACUGUGCACGUCUUGACGGUACCUAAUCAGAAAGCCACGGCUAACUACGUG
rnacentral:rRNA from 1 species